GAGGAAAGAAAAUCCUACUAGACUUAUGAGGUGGAGGAGGAGAUGCGUAGAUUAGCUCUAACUAAAUUGGUUCCAUAGGUUCCAAGACUCAUUACUCUUCAAAAAUUUUCUCCUUGAGCCCAAAUCUAUCUUCCCAUGCCUCCAUCUUGAAUAAAUUAUUUUUCAAAAAAGACUGUAUGUUGACUCAUAAUCACAUUAUGAUCUUUUAGAAGAUAGAAAUAAUAUCCUAAAGACUCCUUAGUAUAUCCAGUAAAAUAAACCUUAAGGGACCUUGUAUCUAACUUGUCCAUCUGUUAUUUUUUGAUAUGGACUGGACAACCCCAAAUC
rnacentral:lncRNA from 1 species